AGCGAACGCUGGCGGCAGGCCUAACACAUGCAAGUCGAACGAACUCUUCGGAGUUAGUGGCGGACGGGUGAGUAACAUGUGGGAACGUGCCUUUUGGUUCGGAAUAACUCAGGGAAACUUGUGCUAAUACCGAAUGUGCCCUUCGGGGGAAAGAUUUAUCGCCAUUAGAGCGGCCCGCGUCUGAUUAGCUAGUUGGUGAGGUAACGGCUCACCAAGGCGACGAUCAGUAGCUGGUCUGAGAGGAUGACCAGCCACACUGGGACUGCGACACGGCCCAGACUCCUACGGGAGGCAGCAGUGGGGAAUCGUGCGCAAUGGGCGAAAGCCUGACGCAGCCAUGCCGCGUGAAUGAUGAAGGUCUUAGGAUUGUAAAAUUCUUUCACCGGGGACGAUAAUGACGGUACCCGGAGAAGAAGCCCCGGCUAACUUCGUG
rnacentral:rRNA from 1 species